CCAGGAGAGACGCACAACAGAGGAGUGGCAGAAGGUGCCCACCAGAACCAGGGCUGCUUGGGCUAGCGUGAUGGAGGCUCCCCAGGUUUAACCCCAGCAAAAGCAGCAAUCCACAACCGCCUGAUUGUGAGAUUCAUCGAGUACCAUACUGCAGUUCAUUCGAGUCAAUAGAGCGACGGUUGUGAAGGAGACACUGAGACGGCGAACGUCCAUUUGCUCAGGACUUAUUAUAUUAUAUUAUAACACUAUUUUCUCUCCUUUUUAUUAAGUAUUUUAUUGACAUUGUCUGUUAAUAGGAGAAGACAGACUGAUUACUAAAUGAGGAGAGUCCCAAGCAGAUGUUCUCCAAUCAGACGAUGAUCAAUAGUUGUUAUAUGUUCAAGUUAUUAUAUUUUAUAGUUUAAGAAGACCGGUCUAUCAAAUUGUUUGUGUGUGUGUGUGUAUGUAUGUGUGUAUAUAUAUAUAGGUUGUUAAAGCUUUGCCAGGUCAGUAAAUCCCGAAACAAAGAUGCCGUAUGAUGUGCUUAUGUGUCUAAAAUUCCAGUUGUGCCGUCGGCAAGGGGGCAUGUCACAACCCAGUGAUUUUGGUGCCUCGGCACGAUGGAAUUUUCUCGCCACAUGAGAGCAUCUUGCAAAGCAAAGGUUUUCUGUUGCAACAGAAAAACCUCGGUGCAAGAGAGUUCCCGCCAUUCGAAUGCAAAUUUGUGUCCCGCUAUUGGCCAGUUCUAAAUUUUUCCUACAUGGCAGCUAGUAAUUGGCUUGCUAGCCGUUUAAAUUUUCGUGCGACUUCCGCCCAAGUCAGAGAACUUUGAGCACGCUGCAGAGUGCUUCUAAAAAGAGAUCUGAUUUGCGGCUGAGCUGAUCAAUAGACUGAUCACCUAUCGAUUCUUCUCCCCGUCGCCGAGCGCAAUCCCCGACAUACCCUUUCCCCGCCGGCUUGAUUUGUGGACGGACGAGCUAGCUUGAGCUCUGCCAGCUGGAACAACUAACAUAGUUGUUCAAAUGACCAGACCGUCUGCAUCGCAGCUACAAGCGGUGUAAGUAAAGUUUUGCAACCAUUAA